rnacentral:sRNA from 1 species
GUAACAAAACGUAACAGAAAUCACAGUUCCGCCCCGUUUCAGUCAACCGCACGCCCCAGAAAUCCUUAGGAUAUCGAAAGUUGCCUUAUGGCCCGGUCCUAGUCGAGGGAUCUCGGAAUAUCAGCCCCCCAGCCCCCCGGGGUCUUUCGCGGGGGCCGGGCCGUUGUUUUCAGUGGCACUACAAAGGGCCGGCUAACGCCGGUCCUUUG